rnacentral:rRNA from 1 species
AUUUGGAAACAGAUGCUAAUACCGGAUAAAAGCUACUUUCGCAUGAAAGAAGUUUAAAAGGCGGCGUAAAGCUGUCGCUAAAGGAUGGACCUGCGAUGCAUUAGCUAGUUGGUAAAGGUAACGGGCUUACCAAGGCGAUGAUGCAUAGCCCGAGUUGAGAGACUGAUCGGCCACAUUGGGACUGAGACACGGCCCAAACUCCUACGGGAGGCAGCAAUAGGGAAUCUUCCACAAUGGACGCAAGUCUGAUGGAGCAACGCCGCGUGAGUGAAGUAAGGUUUUCGGAUCGUAAAGCUCUGUUGUUGGUGAAGAAGGAUAGAGGUAGUAACUGGCCUUUAUUUGACGGUAAUCAACCAGAAAAGUCACGGCUAACUACGUGCCAGCAGCCGCGGUAAAU